UUCUGCACUGAGCUGGUUUAAAUCUUAUUUAUCUGAUCGUUUUCAGUUUGUUGAUGUUCAUAAUGAAUCAUCCUUACGUACCAAAGUUUGUUAUGGAGUUUCGCAAGGUUCUGUGCUCGGACCAAUCCUAUUUACUCUAUAUAUGCUUCCUUUAGGUAACAUCAUUAGAAAUCACUCUAUAAAUUUCCAUUGUUAUGCGGAUGAUACACAGUUGUAUUUAUCAAUGAAGCCAGAAGAAAGUAAUCAAUUAACUAAACUCCAUAACUGCCUUAAAGACAUAAAAA